rnacentral:lncRNA from 1 species
ACUCUAGCCCCCAGUGCUUCUCCCCGUCCUGGCUCUUAAUUGCUGUUAUUUUGCCGAGUGAAAUAUUGAUGACAUUGGGCGAAAAGAUUGACAGCAGCAUGAAUUGUUAUUAACCAGACUGUUGGUUGCAGCUUACAUUUCAAUACAUUCUCGGGGAUGAAGCAGAAGCCCUCGGGGACUCUUUCACUCGUUUCUCCCCCACGUAGGCGGGAAUUAACCCUUGCCUAACUUUCUUUGUGGCCAUCCUUUAUUUUCUUUUUCCUCUGAGCAGUUAUUGAUUUCUAUCUUGAAAAGAAAAGGACUCAUUAUUCAUCAAGGUGGAGGUUGGAAAUUAUCCUGAAAGCUUGAAAUAACCAAGGAUGCAGCAGUUCUUCGAGAAGCAAGGGCAGGGAGGAUGGGUCGACCUUGGAAAGACAAAAAAGCAGCGGAUCAGAAAGAAAAACUAUGUUGGGGAGUUCCUGUUGCGGCUCAGUGGGUUAAGAACCCAGCAUAGUCUCCAUGAGGACGCAGGUUCCAUCCUGGCCUCGCUUGGUGGGUUCAGGAUCCGGUAUUGCUGUGAGCUGUGGUGUAGGUCGCAGAUGCGGCUCGGAUCUGGCAUUGCUGUGGCUGUGGGGUAGGCCGGUAGCUGAGCUCUGAUUCGACCCCUAGCCCAGGAACCUCCCUGUGCCUCGGGUGCGGCCCUGACAACACCAGAGAAGACUUGGAGCAGAGGAGAGACAGGUACGUCCUCUUCCCAUCCCAGCAGACGCGCUCAGCCUUCAGACAUCAGUCGUGUGGCCGCAGCCUUUUGGGAAACAUUCAUCUUUUGUACCUUUGUGCAGCCAGUGAAACCUAACUACCGCAGCUGCUUCUGGAAGAUCUCGGCCUCCACGGCUCCUCCAAAAAGUUGACCCGCACGUGGCCCUUCGUAUGGGUGACUUGCCUCUGUGUGAGCGUUACUGGUAUUGUCAUUUACAAUCAAUACUGCGCGUUGCGCAGCAACAGGGCAGUGAAAGAGGGAAACCACACAUCCCAGAGGUGAAAGAGAAAUAACUCCACUAAGAGUUCUGAUCUUUUCUUGGCCUCUAUCUCAAAUCUUUGAAAAUACUAGAGACCGAAUCUUCUCAAAAGUAGGUAUUUCCAAGUCAAAUCAAUCACCAACGUCAAUUUUUUAAGUCACGUGGGGACUUGGAAAGCUGCCCACUUUCUCAUCAACAGUCACAUUAGCGAGCUUUAGUUCAGUGACCCUCGGUGUAGGGGACAUUUGGCGUGGUUACCACAAUCAGCUGUGCGAUAUCACCUCAAAACGGGGAGCUCCCUGGUGGCACAGGGGGUUAAGGAUCCAGUACUGUCACCGCAGCGGCUGAUUCUUUUGCUUGGAGUUUCUGACCACCUGUAUUGUAUUGAGUGAAUAAUCCUAUACUAGGUACCUUUUAAUCUUGAAUGAAUACAGUUUUGCUCAAUGUGUAAAAAGUAAAAAAAAAAA